rnacentral:rRNA from 1 species
CGUACCCUUCACUACGGAAUAGUCCCGGGAAACUGGGUUUAAUACCGUAUACGCCCUUCGGGGGAAAGAAUUUCGGUGAGGGAUCGGCCCGCGUUAGAUUAGUUAGUUGGUGGGGUAAUGGCCUACCAAGACUACGAUCUAUAGCUGGUUUGAGAGGAUGAUCAGCAACACUGGGACUGAGACACGGCCCAGACUCCUACGGGAGGCAGCAGUGGGGAAUCUUAGACAAUGGGGGCAACCCUGAUCUAGCGAUGCCGCGUGAGUGAUGAAGGCCUUAGGGUCGUAAAGCUCUUUCGCCUGUGAUGAUAAUGACAGUAGCAGGUAAAGAAACCCCGGCUAACUCCGUGCCAGCAGCCGCGGUAAUACGGAGGGGGUUAGCGUUGUUCGGAAUUACUGGGCGUAAAGCGCACGUAGGCGGAUUAGUCAGUCAGAGGUGAAAUCCCAGGGCUCAACCCUGGAACUGCCUUUGAUACUGCUAGUCUUGAGUUCGAGAGAGGUAAGUGGAAUUCCGAGUGUAGAGGUGAAAUUCGUAGAUAUUCGGAGGAACACCAGUGGCGAAGGCGGCUUACUGGCUC